ensembl:lncRNA
AACAUGACAGCAAUAUCUAGUCUACAAACACAUUCUUCAAGGCACAGAAUACAGUACAAAAGUGAUGCCUUGGAAUUUAGAUUUUUGUCUCAAGUUUUGCAUGCCUUACAGAAUUGGACGCAAACCAACCACUUGGGAAAUCAUACACUUUGUGGCAAAUUAAAACCCUUAAAAACAUGUCCCAUCUCCCCAUACAUUACAAAGCAACGACAUAAUUUUAAAGUAAUUUAUUUUGCACAGAAUUAUGUGUCUUACAGCAACAUGUGUAUAUACACAGCAAAAAGCCAACUUCCACACCACAUAAAAUACAAAGUCCAACUUGACACAGUUGUUAGCACAAUCACAUUUAGCUGAGCCCACAAUGAGCUACUAACGAUACACUAAAAUGCCAACAUCUUACAUUACAGAAACAUGCACACAUUUGUCAUACUUUAAACAGGUCACCAUUUUGAAACGAAUACAAAUUCACCGAUCUUGUUGACUGCCGCCCUCCUGUUGAGAAUCUCAAACAUUCAUCUGAAAGAGAAUACAACAACUUUGAGAAACAAACCCACAUAGCUGAUGAAUACCAAGAGGUAGUCUACAAUUCACAGCCGCCUCAGAAUCCGCCAUGUCAAGAGCGGAGUCGCACGUUUUCCCCACUAACAGUCAGAGCCCAGUGCAAGACAUCAUUGAAGGCUGUUUAACAUUAGUUUUGUUGUACUGAUAUCGGAAAUCAAAGAAACUAACCUGUGAAACUUGGACGCCUUCGGUGGCGGCACUGCAAGCUGUAAAUAAUAUAAGGAACCCAUUAGACCAAAAAAUAACACACUUCACACAGGACAUGAAGACACCAGUAGUCUCCUCAGACUCUGCCAUGUCAGUAGCAGAGCAGCACGUUAUCGCCAAAGAUAUUUCAGAGCCCAGUGCAAUGCAUCAUAAGAGACCAGUACAGACUUAACCAGUUGACGUCAAUUUGCAAUCUGACCUAUGUAUUACUGUCAAGGAGUAAAACUAGCCAAUUCUGUGUCAGUAUAGUUUAAAUGCAAGAUAUGCUUGUUUAAAGCACGUGCUGCUUUUCGCUAACAGCCUUAACUUGAUAUCGGCAGUGUGGUUUCAAAACAGUGGCCCUGUGUAAACUCGGAUUAAAUACUUCGAGCAACAUACCGAAGAAAGCUAGCGUUAGCCGAUGCAAGUAAAAUAACAUUUCUCAUUUUAGUUAAGCCCUACACCGACAGCUGUAUCAUUUCCGCUACUUACCAUCUGCCCGCACCGACACACUUCCUACAUUCAAUG